UCCUUGUUAGCUCAGUUGGUAGAGCGUUCGGCUUUUGACCGCAUUUAACUUAAGCCAAGGAUACCGAAAUGUCAGGGGUUCGAGCCCCCUAUGAGGAG
rnacentral:tRNA from 1 species